GGAUAGCUCAGUCAGUAGAGCAAGAGGCUCUUAAUCUCAGGAUUGUGAGUUUGAGCCCCAUGUUGGGCA